rnacentral:rRNA from 1 species
UACGUAGGGUGCGAGCGUUGUCCGGAAUUACUGGGCGUAAAGAGCUCGUAGGUGGUUUGUCGCGUUGUUCGUGAAAUCUCACGGCUUAACUGUGAGCGUGCGGGCGAUACGGGCAGACUAGAGUACUGCAGGGGAGACUGGAAUUCCUGGUGUAGCGGUGGAAUGCGCAGAUAUCAGGAGGAACACCGGUGGCGAAGGCGGGUCUCUGGGCAGUAACUGACGCUGAGGAGCGAAAGCGUGGGGGAGCGAAUGGG